UACGUAGGGCGCAAGCGUUGUUCGGAUUCAUUGGGCGUAAAGGGUGCGUAGGCGGCGCGGUAAGUCGGGUGUGAAAUCUUGGAGCUUAACUCCGAAACUGCAUUCGAUACUGCCGUGCUUGAGGACUGGAGAGGAGACUGGAAUUUACGGUGUAGCGGUGAAAUGCGUAGAUAUCGUAAGGAACACCUGUGGCGAAAGCGGCUCACUGGACCAUAACUGACGCUGAUGCACGAAAGCUAGGGGAGCAAACAGG
rnacentral:rRNA from 1 species